rnacentral:rRNA from 1 species
AUGGCGCUUCCAGCGACCUCGUGGCUGCUCAUCUCCCUCCUCCUCGCCGUGACGCCAGCCCCUAGCACCUGUGAGGAGAGCGUGCGCAUCGCGGGCGCAGGCGGCUUGCUGCAGUGCUACCCGGCGCCGGCGCUCACCAACGCCACUAACGGCACGGCGUUUCGCGCCACCCUGCUCCCGCUCCUCGGCUCUCUCCCCUCCGCCGCCGCGCCCACGGGCUUCGCCUCCCUACGGUCCGUCACUCGCGGGGAGCGCGCGUUGGCGCGGGGGCUCUGCUUCGGCAACUCCACGGUGCCGUCCGAGUGCGCCCGGUGCCUGUCCGCCGCGGCUGGGAACCUCACAGCUGGCUGCGGCGCCACCAGCCGGCGCCCCGGCAUCUGGAGCGACCGGUGCUUCGUCGGCUACGCCGACACCAACGCAUCCUCGUCAAACGAGGACGGCUUCCGCGCGCGCGUCCUCCUCCCGGGCGACGACGCCGUCCCUCGCUCUGUGGCCAGCACCAAAUCCUUCUACUACGCCCACCUGCACGAUGUACUCGUCGCCAUGGAGAAGGACGUGGCGCGGCGCGCGGCCGCGAACAUCUCCGGGCCGCGGAUGCUGGCCACAGCGGAGGAGACCAACUCCGACAGCGCGGUGAGCAGAACAGUGCACGUUCUGGCGCAGUGCGGGAGGGACCGCACGGCGGCGGCCUGCGUCCGGUGCCUACAGAACUCGGUGCAGGCCGUGCACUGGGACCUCAACGCUGCCCGCGUCGACGGUGGCGUGGCGGCCGCGGUGGUGGGCUUCAACUGCUACAUGCGGUUUGAGGUCUCCACUGCAGUGGGUGGCGACACUAUCACUGGCGUUAUGCUACUGGUGGCAUUCGUGCUAUGUAUAUUUACAGGAGGCGCAUGUGGGUGUUUGUGUCCUGUACCCUGA